AUGAAUCAGAUGAACCAGCUCCUUUAAGAACCAGUAUUUCCACCCACAGACAUGCCAGUAAUGGUGGUCCUCCUUUCUCCAAGCUCUUCUGCUCUGGAAGGAACUCUGGCUACCCUGCAGUGGUGCGUGACACUAUGGUCAAGGGAGACUUUUGAGGAGAGCUCUUGAGCGGAGACAAUCCAUGUUUUCAUGGAAGCUUCUCUGCCUCAGCUGAACGAACACAGGACUAUGUCUCAGGAUCAAAUUCACUGAGAGAUAUUAAUUAAUGCCUUCGCUACAGAAGAGACCAGAGUGCCAA